UAGGGGAUCUUCCACAAUGGACGAAAGUCUGAUGGAGCAACGCCGCGUGAGUGAAGAAGGUUUUCGGAUCGUAAAGCUCUGUUGUUGGUGAAGAAGGAUAGAGGCAGUAACUGGUCUUUAUUUGACGGUAAUCAACCAGAAAGUCACGGCUAAAUACGUGCCAG
rnacentral:rRNA from 1 species